CUGCUUUUGUUGGGGAGUAAAGCGGGGCACGUGUGCCCCUUUGCAUUUACCCUUCGAAUAAGGACCGGCUAAUUCCGUGCCAGCAGCCGCGGUAAUACGGAAGGUCCAGGCGUUAUCCGGAUUUAUUGGGUUUAAAGGGAGUGUAGGCGGUCUGUUAAGCGUGUUGUGAAAUUUAGGUGCUCAACAUCUAACUUGCAGCGCGAACUGGCGGACUUGAGUGCACGCAACGUAUGCGGAAUUCAUGGUGUAGCGGUGAAAUGCUUAGAUAUCAUGACGAACUCCGAUUGCGAAGGCAGCGUACGGGAGUGUUACUGACGCUUAAGCUCGAAGGUGCGGGUAUCGAACAGGAUUAGAUACCCUGGUAGUCCGCACGGUAAACGAUGGAUGCCCGCUGUUAGCGCCUGG
rnacentral:rRNA from 1 species